rnacentral:rRNA from 1 species
GACGAACGCUGGCGGCGUGCUUAACACAUGCAAGUCGAGCGGUAAGGCCCUUUCGGGGGUACGACGAGCGGCGAACGGGUGGAGUAACACGUGGGUGGACCUGCCCUCCAGCUCUGGGAGUAAGCCCGGGAAACGUGGGUCGUAAUACUGGAUAUGACUCCACGGUGCAUGCCGUGGGGUGGAAAGCCUUGUGCGGCUGAGGAUGGCCCGCGGCCUAUCAGCUUGUUGGUGGGGUGAUGGCCUACCAAGGCGACGACGGGUA